AGGCCCGGUCCGGCCCCGUGGGAGGAACCCAAACCGUCGCGCAGUUUCUUUUCCACCGCGCCCCUCCCCUUCACCUUUCCCCGCAGGUCGGUCCUCUACGCCGCGAAGCCCGUCCUUCAGCCGCCUCUUCUACCUGCGUUGUGAUCCAGCGUUUCUCCUCCAGCAGCCCCGCCAAAGGCAUGGCUUCCAGAACAGAGAGCCGGGCAAGGGGCGACAGGAGGGGGUCGGGACGGAGCCUCAGACUGUGAACUCGGAAGCUCAAUAACAUUUAGGGGGCACUACAUCAAGGACGCAACAUCAAAGACCUUCACCAUCUGGGCCAUGCCAUCUUUUCACAACAACCAUCAAGCAGGAGGUACAGAAGUCUGAAGUCCCGCACUACUAGAUUCAAGAACAGCUACUUCCCUUCAACCACUCAAUUCUUGAACCAACCUACAAAAUCCUAUUCGUUACAGUUUAACAACAUGGUGAUCUCUUUGGACUAAAAUAAAUUUAUUUAGUUUUUAAUUAUG